UACGUAGGGUCCGAGCGUUGUCCGGAAUCAUUGGGCGUAAAGAGCGUGUAGGCGGCCCGGUAAGUCCGCUGUGAAAGUCGGGGGCUCAACCCUCGAAUGCCGGUGGAUACUGUCGGGCUAGAGUGCGGAAGAGGCGAGUGGAAUUCCUGGUGUAGCGGUGAAAUGCGCAGAUAUCAGGAGGAACACCAAUUGCGAAGGCAGCUCGCUGGGACGUAACUGACGCUGAGACGCGAAAGCGUGGGGAGCAAACAGG
rnacentral:rRNA from 1 species